rnacentral:rRNA from 1 species
UACGUAGGGGGCUAGCGUUGUCCGGAAUCAUUGGGCGUAAAGAGCUCGUAGGCGGUUUGUCGCGUCUGCCUUGAAAGUCCGGGGCUCAACUCCGGAUCUGCGGUGGGUACGGGCAGACUAGAGUGAUGUAGGGGAGACUGGAAUUCCUGGUGUAGCGGUGAAAUGCGCAGAUAUCAGGAGGAACACCGGUGGCGAAGGCGGUUCUCUGGGCAUUACCUGACGCUGAGGAGCGAAAGUGUGGGGAGCGAACAGG